UUAUGGGUGACAUUCCAAAUUUUAUGUUUCAGGACAAUGCUGAAGAAAUAUAGUCUGGUUUAAAGGAUUUCAAACACCAUCAAGUGGAUAAACGGAUGCAUAGAGUUCUACAGGAUUUUAUCACACGUGCAUGUUGGAGCGUCCAGGUUCUGAACAGCGUCCACACUGCAAGGACCCUCAUGCUGCGCUUUGGAGGCUGACCUAGGAGGCCCCAGCCCGAUGGAGGGAUAGACAGAAAAGCACGACCGUGGGCCAAACCCAGGCCCCUGCCGGUGUCUGUAUGGCCCGUGAGUAAUGAAUGGUUUUUCCAUUUUUCAAGUGGUUGAAAAAAAUCAAAAG